ensembl:lncRNA
AUGCCACAAGCUCCCAGGGAACUGGCAGUGGGACUCUGGGGUGGCACCCAGAGAGCAAGCGGAUCGGGCACAACCUACUGGGACACACAGGGCACUGGAGGAAGAGGGAGAAGUAAUGCUCAGCCCCUUCCCCAGUGUGUUAUCAGAAGCUGGUGGCUAGCCAGCCAACCUUUCCAGGCAGGUGCACACCCUUCAGGGCUUAUGAGUCCACCCUCUUGCCUCCUGCAAAGGGAAAGGGGGUGACGGGGCUAGGUGAUUUUAUUAUUGGAUAAAACUUCUGGUCCUUUAAUAUUUUACCACUUACAUGAAAAUCAGCUUAACGUGUUGAAGGCUACUUGCUUUUUCAGUGGAAUUUUUAAAUGGUGCAGCAGUUACUUUGGCUGCAGUAAAAGCUUGGAACGAGUCAAGCUCCUUUCAGUAUCCUGAGUGGCACAGGUAGUUAUUAAGAUUUAAAGCAUUUUGGCCUUCAGAUCAUAAAAUUCCUAGGGAGUGGGGGUGGAGGUGAAGGGACAAAGAAACGGAAGGGCGAGACUCAGAGGAUUCCUGUAAAUGUCCUUCACUGAUCAAUAACACUUUUAUAGGGCACUGGUCCAUCUGAAAGCCUCGGAGCUCUUUGUGGGAUCACACCAUCCAUCUUCACAGUGUCCUCUCUAAGAGAUAAGGAGCAAAUGGCAACUGAUAUGAAAUGUGAACGAAGAUGUGCUGAAGAUGGGGCUAUCUGUUGUUAUAUUGUUAUUUGUUAUAUUGUCACCAGGAAGUUUCUACUCCAUGAGUAUGGGGCUGGGUAUCCCAACCUGUUGGAAUGCUCAGACUGCUCACAUGGCCAUGGCCUGGGCCAAGUGAAGGAUGAAGGCCGCCAUCUUGCUUUAUGAUCCAUUGGGGGUGGGAGGAGGGCACUAGAAAAGACUAUGAAAGGCCCAUGGGCUGGUCCAAAUGAUGUUUUCGCUGCCUCUAUUUUAAUUAUGAAUUUUUUUGUUUGGCUGUGGCUACCAUUUGGAGCCACAAAAAGUAACUGAGAGCUGUAAAGUAUUUACUAGUAAAGAAAAAAUUAAAUGGAUAAGAAAUGUCACCGUGAGCUGGGGAAGGGAGUAUCAUAGCCUUGCUUCUAACCCCUUCCCCAGCUCAUACUCCCCACCCAGUGAAUCUCAUUAGUUGGUGUGUAAGUAGAAAAUGGUAAUUUAGUCAUGGUUGAAUGUAUCCCAUUUCCUUUCGGUUUUUAGGGACUUUUUUUUCCUUCAUAAUUAUGCUUUUGUGACGAGGGAGGUAUUGGGAUUCUCUGGGGUUUGGGAAUAUCUUUGCUUUAUCCUGAAAGCACCCGUCUAUUCCCUCUGUGCAAUGCUUUCUAAUCCUGCCUAGGAUGGAGAGAUACAAAAUGGGCUUCUAAUUUCAUGGUUGAAGUGAGAAGAGAUAAUAUCAGCUCAGUUCCCCGCAUAAAAAUUAUUUCUAGUACAGAUCUUCUGGAAGUUUGCUUUUGUGGCUGCAGUGUGGUCAGGAGGAUAAGCGUGUGUAUGUAUGUGUACAUAGUUUUCAUGUGCAUAGGUUUGUUUUUUAUUUUUAUUUUUUGAAGAUUUUUAUUUUUUCUAUUAUAGUUGAUUUACAGUGUUCUGUCAAUUUCUGCCGUACAGCGAAGUGACUCAGUCACACAUGUAUAUAUACAUUCCUUUUCACUCAUAUGGAUAAACAGAUGGUGAGGAGCAAUUCUUAAAUAACCUGAGAGUGAGGCAGGCUGCUUUAUAUUAUCAAUGUGAGCGUGCAAGGUGAUUACUUUGAAGUGUUUUGCAGCGCCCCUUGAGAUGGCAGUGUGGCAAGUGUCAGGUCCCCCUGAUGGGGAGCAGUAUUUCAGGUGCCUCUUGCCCUGCUUAUUUCAAGGCAAUCAUCCUGGUGCAGGUUCGGCGUGUUGAUUUUCGGCCUUUGCUGUGCUGUCAUCUAAAAGGAACCGGGAGAGGAGAGGGUUAAGGAAAAUAAAUGGGGUCCGACGUGACCA